rnacentral:sRNA from 1 species
CUGAUUUUCUUCCAUUAUGAAAAUGGCUUUCAUGAUGGACUUAGGAGGAGGUCAAGUAAUGAUUUGCACACUAGGUUUGCUGUCAAAGAGGAGAUACUUGUGUUUAUUUUGAGAAAGAAAUUAUGGAUUACCAGUGUCCUAAGGUUUUAGAUUUUCUCCAGAAGCAUAACAAAGAAAAGAUUUAAAAAUUUACCUUCACUGAUUUUAAUUCCUUUGUAACCACUAGUUUUCUUUCUUCCUUAGAUGCAGAAUCCUGAUACACUAUCAGCAAUGUCAAACCCUAGAGCAAUGCAGGCCUUGUUACAGAUUCAGCAGGGUUUACAGACAUUAGCAACGGAAGCCCCGGGCCUCAUCCCAGGGUUUACUCCUGGCUUGGGGGCAUUAGGAAGCACUGGAGGCUCUUCGGGAACUAAUGGAUCUAACGCCACACCUAGUGAAAACACAAGUCCCACAGCAGGAACCACUGAACCUGGACAUCAGCAGUUUAUUCAGCAGAUGUUGCAGGCUCUUGCUGGAGUAAAUCCUCAGCUACAGAAUCCAGAAGUCAGAUUUCAGCA